CAUCCUAAGAGCCAGGGAGCUCUGAUCACUUGUUCUUUCUCCUUCCUCCUGUUUUUCUCAGUACUGGGCUGGCAGGAUGAUAAAGACACUUCGAGAUAGGACCUGUUUUUCUCCUCCUGGGCUUGGCUCAGUGCCUGGGAAGCUGGGGCUGUGGGUGGAGAGCUACCCCCUGCUGGGGACCAGACUUCCCUGCAGGGUCAGCUGCUUUCUCUUCCUCCCCCUCUCCAGCAGUCUGACCACAGUCUCCCAGAGCCCCAGGUGAACUCCCCUUAGCAGGUGGGGGUGCCCGCUCCGUUCUGCUCCUCGCUUCCUCUUAUACAUUCUCCCGCAGAGCAGGCUCCUUCCUGUCAGCCUCCUCAGGUGAGCUACUCAGUGUGAAAUGUUUUGCCUCUUAAUCGACACCAGGGUCUUAGUUUUCUUGCACCAAUCACCGUUUCAGGCGGAUGAGAAACCCGCCAUGAUAGGACACGAGGCGGUGGGAGACGGCUGAGACCGCUGAUUGGUGCUGAAGGGCUGCCUGUGUCUCACCCUCCCAGUUACUCCCAGUGGCUUUCAGCAGAGCCCCACAGCCUCGGCCCAGGUGAGCCAUCCUCCAGGCCAGGCUGACUGGUCUCUGAGCAGCCUCCCUCCCCGCCUUACUCAACCGAUGACUCCGCCUUACAUCACUGCGUCGUGGCUUUCACGCUCCGUCUCUGUCCCGGAAAAGACUCGCCCUGUCAUAGCUUCCAUCCUCCCAAGGCCACUGCGAGAGGCACCACCCUGCACAUAUUCUGUGCUCCUAGGAGAGUGGCAGGCGUCAUUCAUCGGAGUGUGUGGGACUGGCAGGAAAAUGGCUUUGGAGUCAGAUAUCCUGAGAAGAAAUUCUGACUCUGCCACUUACCAGGGAUAUGACCAAAGUUAUAUGAACAAACCUCCUCAUGCCCAAACGAUAUGUACAUGUACAUGUGAAUUAUGUAAAACGUCACAUAUUUUCACCAAACCAUUUGAAGUGUUGGGGAUUAAACCCAGGGCCUUGCACACGGUAGGAUGCUGCUCUUCUGAAGAAGCAUGAUUAACUUGAAGAAAAAUCACUGAGUACAGGUUUUGAGACUUUAAAGGAUGUGGUUACCUGACUCACUUGUGUGUGCAUAGGGAAGAAAAGAGAGCCCUCCUUCAAAAGAAAGCAAGGAACUAAAACAAGAUGUUUCCACACUUCCACUUGAGAGCCUUCUCACGGGUCCAGCAACAGAACCCAAUCUUCCAGGGAAAGUUCCUUCCUGGCAUCCCCACAGCUUUUGUAUUUCAGGUCUUUAUCUACUUUUUAAAAAUUGAAAUAAAUUAAUAAACAUGG